AACGGGGGGGGCAAGCGUUAUUCGUCUUUACUGGGCGUAAAGGGUUCGUAGGCGGUAGUUAAACUAAUUAGCGCGACACUUCACAAAUUAUUUGUAUUUUGCGCUUUAUUAGCACUUGCUUGAAUUUAGUGGAGGUUUUUGGUACCUGCGAAGGAGAGGUGAAAUUCGUUGAUAGCGUUAGGGACCACCGAUGGCGAAGGCAAAAAACCAUGCUAAAUUGACGCUGAGGGACGAAAGCGUGGGGAGCAAACAGG
rnacentral:rRNA from 1 species